rnacentral:rRNA from 1 species
UUUAUGCUUGCAUAAAUGAUUUUUGGAUUCGGAGCGAGUGGCGAACUGGUGAGUAACACGUGGGUAACCUGCCCCGAAGCGGGGGAUAACAUUUGGAAACAAGUGCUAAUACCGCAUAAUUAGUUGGAACCGCAUGGUUCCAACUUGAAAGAUGGCUCUGCUAUCACUUUGGGAUGGACCCGCGCCGUAUUAGUUAGUUGGUGAGAUAAAAGCCCACCAAGACGAUGAUACGUAGCCGACCUGAGAGGGUAAUCGGCCACAUUGGGACUGAGACACGGCCCAGACUCCUACGGGAGGCAGCAGUAGGGAAUCUUCCACAAUGGACGAAAGUCUGAUGGAGCAACGCCGCGUGAGUGAUGAAGGUUUUCGGAUCGUAAAACUCUGUUGUUAAAGAAGAACAAGUGUUAGAGUAACUGUUAACACUUUGACGGUAUUUAACCAGAAAGCCACGGCUAACUACGUGCCAGCAGCCGCGGUAAUACGUAGGUGGCAAGCGUUGUCCGGAUUUAUUGGGCGUAAAGCGAGCGCAGGCGGUUUUGUAAGUCUGCUGUGAAAGCCCUCAGCUCAACUGAGGAAGUGCAGUGGAAACUACAAAACUUGAGUACAGAAGAGGAAAGUGGAACUCCAUGUGUAGCGGUGAAAUGCGUAGAUAUAUGGAAGAACACCAGUGGCGAAGGCGGCUUUCUGGUCUGUUACUGACGCUGAGGCUCGAAAGCAUGGGUAGCGAACAGGAUUAGAUACCCUGGUAGUCCAUGCCGUAAACGAUGAAUACUAGGUGUUGGAGGGUUUCCGCCCUUCAGUGCCGCAGCUAACGCAUUAAGUAUUCCGCCUGGGGAGUACGACCGCAAGGUUGAAACUCAAAGGAAUUGACGGGGGCCCGCACAAGUGGUGGAGCAUGUGGUUUAAUUCGAUGCUACGCGAAGAACCUUACCAGCUCUUGACAUCUUCUGCCAACCCAAGAGAAUUGGGCGUUCCCUUCGGGGACAGAAUGACAGGUGGUGCAUGGUUGUCGUCAGCUCGUGUCGUGAGAUGUUGGGUUAAGUCCCGCAACGAGCGCAACCCUUAUUAUUAGUUGCCAGCAUUUAGUUGGGCACUCUAGUGAGACUGCCGGUGAUAAACCGGAGGAAGGUGGGGACGACGUCAAAUCAUCAUGCCCCUUAUGAGCUGGGCUACACACGUGCUACAAUGGAUGGUACAACGAGUCGCGAAACCGCGAGGUCAAGCUAAUCUCUUAAAGCCAUUCUCAGUUCGGAUUGCAGGCUGCAACUCGCCUGCAUGAAGUUGGAAUCACUAGUAAUCGUGGAUCAGCAUGCCACGGUGAAUACGUUCCCGGGCCUUGUACACACCGCCCGUCACACCAUGAGAGUUUGUAACACCCAAAG